UUGGCCACCUGGCUCUGAGAACUGAAUUCCAUAGGCUGUGAGCUCCAGCAAAUGCCCUAGGGACUCAGUUCUGGUGCCCGGCUGUGCUAC
rfam:Equus caballus chromosome 1, whole genome shotgun sequence.